CCGCUGCCAGUGCCCGUGUGCGUCUGUUUAUCAGGCAGAAAGGCAAAUAAAUGCAGGACAAGGGGGAGCUGAGCCACAGCAGCCUGUGCACGGGUGGCUGCUCCCAUCCCGGCUCCAGCUUUGUCAAGCCUGGCAAGAGUUUGCUCUGUGCACAGCCCUACCUUCAGGUACAGAAAACAUCCGAGAAGCAGCAAGCUGUGGUUGGUGCAGACUGAGGACCAUCUGUGGGGCUGGGAAUUGCUGUGCCGAGGUGCAGAUGUGGGGGGGGACCAUCCUCCUGACCCCUCCUGGCCUUGCCUUUAGUGCUGAAGCGUAGGGAGGGAUGCUUUAAACAGGAAACCCUGAGCACCUCUGCUAAGUCACCUUCCUGAAGCGAUGCAGGCUGGGGCUCUGGUACCGAUUUCUGUAGUGCAAGCAGGCUUUGCUUGCCCACAGGUAAAGCCCAUCCUGCUUGUGCAGAUGUGAUUUUUCCAACAUCAGGAGCAAGCCGAGCAGGUACCCACACGCACUGUGGCUUUCCAAGCACCAAGCAGCGUUUGGUGCACCCCGCUGCUCCCUGGUAGGCUGGAGCCAGGCUGGAGGUGCAGUUAUGUUCCCACAUCCCUUCCUUCCUUGUACGUCUGCCCCCAGGGAGAUCUGUUUGCCUCCUUCUUCCUCACCUAGUCGUUAAUCUCUUCCUACACGGAGGCAGGUUUCCCGCCUGCGUGCGCUGAGCAGGCCUGUUUGCCAUCGACGGCUGACGCAGCGCUCAGGAAUUCGCUGGGUGGCUGGCAGCACAUCUGGACUUGCCCCGUGCACGGCGCUGCGUGGCUGCGUCCCGGUCAGGUAUGCAGCGAGGGAGGCUCCCCCUGCUCCGGCACACACCUGCGCCACGCCGGGGAGUGGCCGGCAGCUCCCCCGAGCCCUGCGUCGGCUCCUGCCCUUCUCAGUGCUGAGCUGGAGCGGGGUCGGGGAAGAUGGGAGCGCCAGUGUGAGCUGGUACAUCACGGCAUGUGUGUGGCUGUACGGCAGGAGAGCUGCAGCCAUUCCCUUCCCAAGGUCGGCGUGGGAAACCAUCCUGGGUACAGCAUUAGCGUGCACGUCCCUGCGCGCACACGCUGCCCCAGCAGCAGUGCACGGGGAGGCAGGUGGGCCCAGCAGGACCCCCAGGAACGAGAGGACAGCAGGUCCUCAGGGGCAGGGACUAAACCAGUCUCAAACUGGUCUGUGCACCCAUCAGCCGGUGGCUCCCCGUGGGACCGGGCUCGUGUCCCACGGACGGUCACGCCACGGUUGCCAGCCUUUGGCAUGACUUGAGGAGAGCAGCUGGGGCUCGGCGCUGGGGUUUGCUUUGCUCCCACUGCGGGAGCCUGGCCGGCGCCAUGUGAACGGGCAGGCGGUGUGAACCGGCGCAGCGAGGUCUGCUGCAGCCCUGCCUUCCACCGGCGUGCGCCCGGAUCCCAGCCCUCAGCUCCCACUGUCAGGGCAUUUGACACUGAGCAAAAAUAGUUACGCUGGGGUGGAGCACGGGAGAAGCGAGGUUUUAGCUCUGCACAAACCACAGGGCUUUGAUUUAUGGAGCUGGCGCUCGGCAGACAGGAUCCACCCCCCUGCUUUUUUUAAUAUUGUUUCCUGGCAGCUUAGUUGGUUUCUCUGCUGAUUUGAGCAACGCUCCCACAAUCCUGCGGGUGCCUCGUUGCCUUGAAAGCAGUCAGCUGGAAUUUGCUAUUUUAGGACCUAAAAAUUGAAGAGAGGAAGAGGAAGAAGGAAAAGGAGAAGGAGAAGAAAGUGUAUUCAUGGGAGAACAGAGGAACGGUUUAUCAGGAUUUCACUCAAGGGGAAAAAGCACAAAAAAUAAAUUAUGAUUCAUUUUCAGUUGAGCGGAGCUUCGUGUUUCUAUAGUAAGUCGUAACAAAACAAGGCGGCAAAGCCAAGCAGUUAUUUGUACCAGAUGGGCCAGCGGUUGUAUCUGCAGCUUUUCAGGAAUCAUCCUGACUUGGGCAGAUUUUGCAGCCAGGAGCUCAGGAGUUCACCCAUCACGGAGGGGUCAGGGUGGCGGGGGGGGCCACAACCCCGCUGUGUCCCUCGGCUCUCCCUGGCUGGCUGGGGGGGGGGCUGCGGACCCCCAGCUUGUAUUGCCGCCCCGUCGGCCUUGUGCUGGAGCGGGUCCUCCUGGGCUGAAACUCGUCCUCCCCGGCUCAUCCGUCCCGUUCAUGUCAGCGCUCGCCCCGUCUGCCGUGUCCUCGCCCCCGCAAACGGGUCUGACUACGUGGCGUUGCCUCACCUCUCCGAGUCACCUGGAAGCUUUCCCAGGGCAAGGGAGCCCCGGAGAGUAAUAGCAAAGGACCCUCACGGAGAUUUGGGUUAUUGAGGAGUGAGGGGAGAGCACCCAGCCCCUGCCCGUGCGGGGGGGCGCUCGGGCAGAUGCCCGCCUGCAUCCCAGGGCAGGGGGCUGUCCUGCCAGUGUGGUGAUGAAAUACCAGCAACUUGUUUCCUUGGGGUAAAUUGGAGCAGCGAGUGGAUGAGAUGCUCGAGUCUGGCACCUCCGGCUGCUGCUGGCAGUGCCAGGACCGGCACAGGUAGUGGAGCUAUGAAGCAAUAUUGGAAGAGUGAGGCAAGCCUGGGAAAAGGAAAUGAACCCACAGAAUGCUCUGGAGGGUUGGAGGGCUCAGAUGGUACCCGGAGGAACAGGAUGAGGAUGCUGACAGAAUAAAUAGUACCUUUAUUUUUGCACAUUAAUUUUAAACAGCGAUACAGGCACCAGACGUGAAGGCAAGGCGGGAGGUGCUGGUGGCACAGGGAAGGGGUAUCCCUCGUGCUGGGGCCGGCGGCCGGGCAGGCUGGGCCAGGCUGUGCCCAGCGCAGGG